UGUUGACUGCUGAUAAAGGGAGCUUUGCAAAUAUAGCUAUAUAUGCUUCCUACGUAUGCGAGCAGCUAGAAGGAAAAAGCUCAUAGGUACCAAAAUCUUCGUUUGUAGCUACCACUAUUCCUUGUGAGGAACACUGAGAAGCGCUGGGACGUGAUCAUGGAGCGCUCUUCCACCCCCGCAGUACGCCGCGUUGCUCUCUUGCUGGCUCUCAUCGUAUGCUGUUCCAUGGUAUCCUCGACGGCGGCAACCCAAGUUUCUCUGCAUGGAAGCCGUGAGGGACAACGUCCUCCGUCGCCUUCGGCCUCGGGCGGGAGGUCCGUGAGGUGUCCAGGAUGCGGAAGAACUUCUUCGUUGCCGGCGACGGCCAGACAUUCGCCGCACCGGAAGAACCUGCAGGUUGCUGCGAACGUCAACUUCUACGCGUGAAUCGCAUGUGGAAGUUUUCAUUAUAUUUUUACUUUUGCCCCAAACCAAUGAGGAUAAGAGGAUGUUUUUUGCAUCACGAUAUUUGAAUUGGUAUGUGAGAAACAAAUAGCAUGUGCAAGUAUCUCGUGCAUAUUUAAAUUUUAAUAUAUACACGAAAAUAGCAUAGAACAAUUGUUCUAUGGUUCUUUUGCUUUUUGAUAUAAAGGACACUUUCAUUAA